rnacentral:lncRNA from 1 species
GUGCCUGGCAGGCUACAGUCUGUGGGGUUGCAAAGAGUCGGACACAACUAAGUGACUAAGACUUUCUUCUUUCAUGUUAACAGAAGUCGAUGAAACCAAAUUCAUCUUCUUAUCCCUGGGACCUAGCAUGGUGCCUGGAAUAGAGUGGACAUUGACAUACCUGCACGUGAAUUGUGGAUCUGGUUUGAGUUCUUUCCCUGGAAGUCUUCUCCACUUGCACAACGGAGAGUGCAGUCGGAAACUGGAAGAGGCAUCCUCUUACUCUCUUCUGCUGCUGCUGCUGCUGCUAAGUCGCUUCAGUCAUGUCCGACUCUGUGCGACCCCAUAGAUGCAAGCCCACCAGGCUCCCCCAUCCCUGGGAUUCUCCAGGCAAGAACACUGGAGUGGGUUGCCAUUUCCUUCUCCAAUGCAUUAAAGUGAAAAGUGAAAAGUGAAAGGGAAGUCGCUCAGUCAUGUCACUCUCCUCUA